rnacentral:lncRNA from 1 species
UGCUGAGAGAGGAGAUAGACACAAGCUCUCAUCCCUAAAACAGAAGCUAUCUCCAAAAGAUUCCUGGAAAAGAGCAUGUUGCAUCCUGUGAAGUAGAUGGGUCUAUGAGAGCAGGCAUUAAGUCUCACGUUGCUUGCUGCUAAUCUGAUCUACAUAUUUUGUGAAAACUAGUCUCCAAAAAAGACUAGACAACUAUCAAUUUUGAAGCCGAGGGCGUCUGUACUAUUUCAUACAGAAGAGGGAGUCUCAUGAGAGCAUUCAAAGAAGGGAAACCAUACCAGAGCUCUGGGACACAUCGGGCUCCCUAUUUGAUCCUCACAGUGGCCCAUGAGUCAAGCAUUACCUGGAUUCUACAAGCUUAACAAUAAUAACAACACAACUGGGCUCCACAAAGAUCGGAGAAGGAUCAGGCAGAGUUUUUAUGUCUUAGAGAUGGUCAGAGCGCACCCUACAGAGGAGGCCACUUGGCCAGGCAGUGAGCAUGAGGUGAACACACGAGAAGAAGGUUGUUGCUAAAUUCUCGACGCCUCCAUCCACAGAGGUUUGAAGGCAAUGUGGACAGAGAGAGCAGUGACUGCAACUGUGGACUUCAACCCAAAUGACCCAAGAUCAGAAGCUAUAAACCCUGAUACUAUCUAUAAACAGCUUCUCAUUGGCUAUCUCUAGGCAGGAUGUUAC